rnacentral:rRNA from 1 species
UACGAAGGGGGCUAGCGUUGCUCGGAAUCACUGGGCGUAAAGGGUGCGUAGGCGGGUCUUUAAGUCAGGGGUGAAAUCCUGGAGCUCAACUCCAGAACUGCCUUUGAUACUGAGGAUCUUGAGUUCGGGAGAGGUGAGUGGAACUGCGAGUGUAGAGGUGAAAUUCGUAGAUAUUCGCAAGAACACCAGUGGCGAAGGCGACACAC